UGGGGAAUUUUGCGCAAUGGGCGAAAGCCUGACGCAGCAACGCCGCGUGUGUGAUGAAGGUCUUCGGAUUGUAAAGCACUUUCGACUGGGACGAACACCUGCUGGCCAAUAUCCAGCAGCCUGACGGUACCAGGAGAAGAAGCACCGGCUAACUCUGUGCCAGCAGCCGCGGUAAUACAGAGGGUGCAAGCGUUGUUCGGAAUUAUUGGGCGUAAAGCGCGUGUAGGCGGCUUUGCAAGUCGGGUGUGAAAGCCCUCAGCUUAACUGAGGAAGGGCGCCCGAAACUGCAGAGCUUGAGUACCGGAGAGGAUGGCGGAAUUCCCCAAGUAGAGGUGAAAUUCGUAGAUAUGGGGAGGAACACCGGUGGCGAAGGCGGCCAUCUGGACGGAUACUGACGCUGAGACGCGAAAGCGUGGGUAGCAAACAG
rnacentral:rRNA from 1 species